rnacentral:rRNA from 1 species
AUACGGAGGGUGCAAGCGUUACUCGGAAUCACUGGGCGUAAAGCGCAUGCAGGCGGCCAGAUAAGUUGGAAGUGAAAGCCUACGGCUCAACCGUAGAACUGCUUCCAAAACUGUCUGGCUCGAGUCUGGGAGGGGAAGAUGGAAUUAGUAGUGUAGGGGUAAAAUCCGUAGAGAUUACUAGGAAUACCAAAAGCGAAGGCGAUCUUCUGGAACAGUACUGACGCUGGGAUGCGAAAGCGUGGGGAGCAAACAGGAUUAGAAACCCCUGUAGUCC